CAUGAACCUUGGCAGCGAAAGGCACGAUUGCUUUACAUGGGUGUGUGCUGCCAGAAUAAACACACUGAUGUCAUUCUGGAAAAACUGACACAUGUUGCAGAACAUGAAAGAGGAGAGAAUAAUACCAGGGUCGAUUUUUAUAGCAUCUUUUGAAAGGACUGGGUUUACACUGAAAGGAAAAGAAUCAUAGUUAUCGGUCCAAUUAUAAUUGGCACUGAUUUUUACAGGUUUGUGUAAAACUUUUUUUUAUAGUUAACAGACCUAUGCUUCUAUUUUUUUGUUGUUGUUGUUAUUGAUCUGUUUUUAUCAAAUUCAUGCUGGGCUUUGGUAAUCACCUUGUUCCUUUGCGUUUGUAAAACCUCUGCUUGGUCACCUUCUCUAGGACUUUCCCAAGCAUUGAGGUCAAGCUGAUUGCUCUGUAGGGCCCACUUUUCCACUUUUAAAAAAGACAGGGACCGUAUUAGCUUUUCUCCAACCUUCUGGUGCUUCCCAUGUCCACCGGGAGUUCUCAAAGAUUAGAGUCAGGGAUUCUGAAACCACAUCUGCCAGAUCCUUUAGUAUCCUGAGAUGUAAUCCAUCCAGCCCCAUUCAAAACAGCUAGGUGUUCUUUUACCACUUCCCUGCCUAUAUUGACCUAGAUUUUUCUUCUGUCUUCCCCUCUCCUUGGUGCAGCUUCUAACAAAGUGGACCACUUUUUCCUUUUGCGGAAGGACAGAUGCAAAAAGGGAAUUAAGCACUUCAGCUUGCUCCCUGUUGUCUGUCCCCAUCUUGCCAUCUCCUCCAAGCAGCUGACCAACCAUUUCCCUGAUUUCCCUCUAGUUCUGCACAUACCCUUUGGUGUUAUUCUUGGUAUUCGUUGCGAGCUUCAGCUCAUUCUGAGCCUUGGCCUUCCUGAUCCCCUUAGAGAUCCAGGCAAUUUCCUGACAUUCUGCUUUUGUUACAUGCCCCUCUUUCCAUUUUUUAAACUUGUCCUUUUUGUUUCUUAGGUUAUCAAAAAGGUCAUUAUGCAGCCACACCAAUCUUAUCAGCGGUCUCCCCUUUUUCUUUCUCUCUGGUAUUGUUUGGGUUUGGGGCCUUAAUCCUCUAAUUUUUCAGAACUUCCCAAUUCUUGUCAAUUGCUUCUCCUUUCAAGAUCUCCAUCUAUGGAAUCCUUCUAUGUUUUCCCUUUGCUUGUUGAAGUCAACUCUCUUGAAAUCCAGAACACUGAUCGGGCUAACCUCAGUUCUCCCUGCAUGCUGUAUGAUAACUUCUAGGAUGACAUGGUCAUGCUCUCCCAAUUGUCCAUCAACUUCCACUUUCUCAGCCGUUUUUCCUUGGUAGUGAAUGUUAAGUCCAGUGUAACUCAUCUCCUGGUUUCCUUCUUGACCUUUUGGAUGAAGAACUGGAUGGGAGGGAGCUAUUGUUAUAGAAAGACUGGAUUGGUCGAGGUGGAGCAGUGCAUUGUGACAUAGGAAUGUCAUGUCAUCAGCAGCAGCAGCAAGACAGCAUCCAGAUCAUCUCUUUGGCUGCAUUGCUUUGAUCCGUGGACAUCCAGAUCUUUGUGCAGGUGGAGGCGGAGCCUAUGAGGCGUGGCUUGGCAGGUGUGUGCGGGCAUCAAUGGCGGUGGCAACUGUGCUGCUAUCCACCUUGGCUGCCCAGCUCUCCCAGUCGGCCACCGCCCGCUCAUAUGGGAUCUUCUGUAAAGGACUGACACGGACCCUCCUCAUCUUCUUUGAGUUGGCCUGGAAGUUCCGCAUCAACUUCUCCUACCUGUACCUGGUGGCUUCCAUGAUGUUCAACGUCAGGCUACAGGUACACAUUGAGAUCCAUUAAAUCGUGACUUAAGUUGCAAAGGAAGGCGUCCGCCUUAUACUGGGGUUCACUACAAUGCAGAGCGUUGAGGACAGAGUGACACCACUCUCUUCUCUCAGUAUGGCCCAGGAAGAGGAUUUGGGACAACAGCUGCAGAAAAGUGCCUUGAAUCAGCAAGAGGAGAUCCUUCACCUUCCAAAUAUCCAUUCCUUAAUGGACAGCUCUCACUCUAACAGUAACCAUUUGCAGAAGGAAUUCUUCUCCCUUAAGAUCCGGAAUUGCCCUCUGUUCAAAGCUGUCCCACUCCCUCAUAUUGGUAAAAAAGUCUUGCCAGACCUGAGCACAGUGGCCAAUGGAGCUGACUCACCCAAGGAAUCCCUCAGUCUGCAUUUUUUACCAGAAAACAAUCUUCUGGAGAAGAUCUUCAGCCACUUUGAUAGCACUGCAGUAACAGGUUGGCUGGAGAGAGCUCAUGGUGUCCUUAGUGAGCUGGGCAGGUGGGGUUCCUCCAGAGAGAACUUUGUACACUUUGCACACUUCUGGCUGUCUGAGCUCCAGCAUGACCAGAAACAACAGUUGUUGGAACUGGAAUUGGGGAUUAUUGGUGAUGAAGUGCAUCUUGCAUUCCUAGAAGGGCAAGACUGUAAGGACCUUCAGCCUUCAGAAUUGAGUUCCAUCCUGGUGGCUGCACUGGGUGAAUAUCCAAUGGGGUUCACCAGUAACCAGCACCCUUAUGUUUUUCUGGAUUACUUGAACCUCAUGUCUUCACCCGAUACAUCCGGAUACAUGGAAAUGCUUUCCAACAUACAAUAUUCAAGCAAAACCCCUCAGAUAACUCAGUGGUUGCUCGCUAUACGAGAAUUUGCCCUUGCGAAUCUCUGGCAUGCUAUAGUCAAGUUCUAUAAGACGUUGGUCAGUACCCAGCUCUCUUCUGAACCACCCAUCAAGAUUCCUGGUUCUGCUACUAGAAAAGAAUCCACUGAAGUCAUUAAAGAAAGAGCUCUGCAGGCUGUUCAGUGGGGAUAUGUAGAUGUCUUGGAUUAUCUUGUUAGAAGCCAGAAGCUGGACCUUAGCAUCGUGGAUGAAAAGAACCGAAAUCUUUUAUUUUUGGCCACUAUCCAUGACCAGUCUAAGAUUUUGGACUAUUUUCUUGAAAUGGCCCUUCCUGUCCCUGAUGUAAACCAAGCAGCUGAAAAUGGCAAUACACCCCUUCACGCUGCGGUCAACACUGGCAAAAUGCAUCUUAUUUCUCUGCUUUUACACUACCCCGGGAUUAACGUGAACGUCCAAAAUCCCCAGUGUGAUGGAGCAACUCCGCUGCACCUUGCAAUUGUUUAUGGGCAUCUGGGCAUUUGCUAUUUACUGCUGAACGCUGCGGCUGAUGUAAAUAGUGCCAUGGGGGGCGUGAUGCCUUUGCAGCUUGCCGAAAUGUUUGGGAAUGAAACGAUCACCAGCCUGAUCAAAAUGCACGUAAAGAAAACUCAGCUUGAAAACACCAUCUUUGCCCGAUCGACCUCUGAAGGAAAUUCUAUAGAGUUUUAAAAAUGCAUCUUUUCUAGGUUUUGUUUUUCUUUUGUAUUAAAGCUUUUUUUCAAACUUGG